rnacentral:rRNA from 1 species
UACGAAGGGGGCUAGCGUUGCUCGGAAUUACUGGGCGUAAAGGGCGCGUAGGCGGCCGAUCAAGUCAGGCGUGAAAUUCCCGGGCUCAACCUGGGGGCUGCGCUUGAGACUGGUUGGCUAGAGGCCGAGAGAGGGUGGUGGAACUCCCAGUGUAGAGGUGAAAUUCGUAGAUAUUGGGAAGAACACCGGUGGCGAAGGCGGCCACCUGGCUCGGUACUGACGCUGAGGCGCGACAGCGUGGGGAGCAAACAGG